rnacentral:lncRNA from 1 species
CCCUCCCACACGCAUCUUGGUUGUCCUGUGUGGCCAGUGAAAGGCGGUGGGAGUGAAGCAUGUGACUGCCAGGGCUAAGUCAUGGCUCCUACUUGGGUCUCUUUCAUCAUUUGCCUUGGAGGAAGCCAGAUGCCCUGUUGUGUGACCGCCCCCUGGAGAGGCCCAUGUGGCAAGGAACCGAGGCCUCAGCGAGCUGCCAUUCGAGAGAGUCAUCUCUGCUCUUCAGUUCCCAGGCUUCACCGCACACGGCGACAGGCAAGGACUCCUUGGCACAACGUACACCCGCUCACCCAUGUCCAUGGAGAGAGGCCUUCCUCUAAGGUGACCAGAACAGUCCUGACCUAACAUCCAAACCCUGAGCAAAACCCUUCUGUUCCAUGCAUCUCCUCUCUGGACCUCUGCCUCCGCGGCCUGCCGUUCCUUUCCCACAGGUGUAGCAGUAUUCCUUUCCUCAUGAGGUAUGCCUGUUCUCCUUCCUGCGUUCCCCAGUCCCUGUGUAGUCAGUCACUGGACUAGUUCUGGGCAGCUUCUGAAGCGCAGCUGUCAGCUGGGUGCCUUGGUGCCUUGUAAUCCCAGUGGCUUGGGAGGCUGAGGCAGGAGGACUUCAAGUAGAGGACAGCAUCAGCAAUUUAGCAGGGCCCUAAGCAACUUAGUGAAACCGUGUCUCAAAAAACUAAAAAGGGAUGGGGGUGUAGCUCAGUGGUAAAGUGCUCUUGGGUUAAAUCCUCAGCACCAAACAGAAAAACAAAACAAACAAACAAAAAGAAAUGCAGCUGGCACCUGGUUCUCUAAGUGCUCUUCCCCUGUCAUAGGAAGUGUGGAGUGCAACAAGAUCAAAGCGGCCUGGAUUGCUAAGUGGCCUUAAGGUGUUGUUCCACGCCAGGGAGGACUCUGUGUGAAUAGAAAAUAAGGGUGCUAAGUCACAGAGAGGGCAGCACUGUGUGUGCAGACAAGCUCCCUGUCCAACUGAGGCGGCACCCUUCUGCCUUGUGGACAGCCUGAAGCCCAGCUACCGACCGUGCCUCCCUCGUGGAGUGGCCCUCAGAUCUCCAGACUUGGCACAGUUCACCUUCUACUUCGGCCACUUACAGCUGCGUGGCCUUCGCUAGUCACCAUCUUCCUGGCUGCUGUUUCUGUACCACAGAGCUAACAGCUGUCUGCUUCCCAACCCCAGCCUGUCCUCCGGUCCAUCUUCCCAUCUUCCGCCCUGUUCUGAUCAUCUAACACCUGGCGGUUCUCAACUGCUCAUCAUAUAAGAUGCAGAGUCUCUAGUUCCCAAGGCUUUCAAAGAGCCAAUGCAGAGCAGGGAUGGUGGUACAGGUCUGUAAUCCCAACAACUCAGGAGGCUGAGGCAGGAGGAUCCCAAGUUCCAGGCCAGCCUCAGCAACUUAAUUAAAUCCUGUCUCAAAAUAAAAAUUAAAUGGGCUGGGGAAGUAGCUCAGUUGGUAGAGUGCUUGCCUUGCAUGCACAAAGCCCUGGGUUAAAAAAUCAAAAACGUGCCGGGCUGCAGUGGCGCAGGCCUGUAACCCCAGCGGCUCGGGAGGCAGAGGCAAGAGGAUCACAAGUUCAAAGCCAGCCUCAGCAAUUUAGUAAGGCACUAAACAACUCAGUGAGACCCUGUCUCUAAUAAAAUAGAAAAUAGGGCUGGAGAUGUGGCUCAGUGGUCGAGUGCCCCUGAGUUUAAUCCCAGGUACCAAAAAAAAAAAAAAAAAGUUUAUAAACAAGGACUAUGGCUCAGUGGUAAAGCACCCAGUUGCAAUUCCCAGUAUUUUAAAAAAGUGGGGGAGAAAAAGCCAACCCAAAUCCUCUUGCAGCCUUUAUCUCUGCUUGUCCUGUACAUUCUUGGACUCUAGGUAGACCAGACCCCAUUCCUUAUGUGUUUACUUGGGCCAUCCUUCUGUCUGAAAGGUACCAUUUACUGAACACCAACUCUGUGUGAGGCACCAGAAGACACUGGGUACAGAGGACAAGACACUUACCUGUGGUGGGGACAGGAGACAAGUGAACCAACCACAGUGGGCUUGAGAUAAGAGGCGCAGCAUACCCCAAUUCAAACUGGUGAGAUCAGAGAAUCUUCUUACAGGAAGUAUUUGAGCUGGAUUUUGAAGAACUGUAGGAAUUUCCUAGGCAAAUGAGGGCAGAGAAGGCAUUCUGUACAGUGGGAACAGCAGGUCAGCCAUGGAGUGAGGAUGGGAAAGGGGACACAAGUGCUGAGGUGCAGGGCAGAGGAAUAGCCUGGGAAGCUGAGGAGGCAGCCAGAGCCUUAUUCAUCACGGAGGCCUUGAUUGCCGAGACUUGGGCUCCAUCCUGGAGAUGUUUGGUCAUCAAAAGAUCUUAGGCAGAGAAACUGGAGAUGUAGCUCAGUAGUAGAGUGCCUACCUAGUGUGUGGGAAGCCCUGGGUUCCAUCUCCAGCACGCCCCAAAACGUAGACUUUGUGUGUGUGUGUGUGUGUGUGUGUACUGGGGAUUUAACCCAAGGGUGCUCUUCUCCUGGGCUAUUCUCCCAGCCCUCUUUUAUUUUUUGAGACAUGGUCUUACUAAGUUGUUGAGGCUGGCCUUGAACUUGUGAUCCUUCUGCCUUCACCUCCUGAAUCUGAGACUAUGGUAUGCUUACCUUGCCCAGGCUAGGUACAGACUUUAAGUAAAGGAGGAACUUGGUUAGAUUUGCAUUUCAUAAAGGUCCUGCCAGUAAAAGAUCCAUAUGGCAGUAAUGUUGACAAUCAACCAGAAGGAAUGCAACAUCAGAGCCAAGUGGCCCAAUCAGGAUCCCAUACAAGUGGAAAGGAGAGCCUAAACAAGGACACAAGGGUGGCAAGAAGAAAAAUUUAGUACAUAAUUAAGAAACAGAUACUUACUAUUGCUACUAGUCAAAUACAUGAAAAUAGAUAUACUUAGAUAAGAAGAGGUCUAUGAGCUCUAUCACUCCUAUUUGUUUUUUAAAUUUCCCUAUCAUUUCUACAAUGAGGUGUCUUAGGAAUAUGCACAACACCUGCUCUUUCUUUUUUGGGGGGAGGGCACCAGAGAUUAAACCCAGGAGUGCUUAACCACCUAGCCACCCCCAGCCCUUGUUUGCAUUUAAUUUAGAGACAGGGUCUCACUGAGUUGCUUAGGGUCUCACUAAAUUGUUGAGACUGGCUCUGAACUCGAGAUCCUCCUGCCUCAGCCUCCCAAGCUGCUGGGAUUACAGGCGUGUGCCACUGCACACAGCCCCUGCUUUUUUUUUUUUUUUUUUUUUUUUUACGGUUCUAGUGAUUGAGCCCAGGGGAGCUCUACCACUGAGCUACAUUCCCAGCCCUUUUUAUUUUGACACAAGGUCUCACUAAGUUGCCCAGGCUCACCGGGAGCUGGUGAAUCACCUGCCUCAUCUUCCCAAGCAGCUUGGAUUACAGGCACACACCACCAUUCCUG